UGCAUCGGCCGGAGAUCGCGGGCCGCCCGCGUGGCGAGCGAGCAUUCUACCACUGAACCACCGAUGC